rnacentral:lncRNA from 1 species
GUAGAUAGAAUACUUUUAAUACAGAAAUCUUUGUAAAUACCUUAAUUACAGUCCAUAAAAAAUAAGUUCUGAAUCUUUACACCAUAGUCAAAUACAGACAGACUAAAAUCCAUUUCUGACUCAAAUAAAGAAGCAUUUAUCUAACGUGGAAGAAAGCUAUACUCUUCCAAUAAGAUUUAUCCUAAACCACAAAGACCCACCUCACUCCUCAAGCUGUAAUUUCACCACAUCAGUGUUUUGCAGCACAUACAGUACUUGUUUGGCAACCUCAAAGCAAUCUGGGCAAAGCAAGCCCAGAAGAAGAAAUUGGGGGUUUUAAUAUUCAUUUUGGUAUUGGAGAUGAUGGAUCUGCAGCGUGUGGCUGCAGUAACAGUGACCGUACAUAGCAGGGCUCUGCAUUUGAAACGUAGCUGUACAGUUGUGUGUUCAGUAUCUGAACAGGAUGAUGUGGAUCAGGGUUUCAGCAGGUGAGAGCUGGUCUGUGAACUUGUAGAAAGUGUCAGGUCCUCUAAGGAUUGGGCUGGUAGGCCCUGGUGAGAACCAGGCACAGGUCAAGAUUGGUGUGUGCAGUGCUGGCCCAGGGCCCCAGGUCUGCUUUGGCAGUUUGGCAGUCAAAGUGAUCUUCUCCAGCAAAGCCACUACGCCCAAGGGCUGGAAACUGCCUUCCUGAGCCACCCUGUAAUUGAUUUGGAUCUGUGUUCUGAUUUUGAUCCUGAUCCAAACCCAAAUCCAGUUCAAACUGGAAUGUCUAUAAAAUCUGGAGCACUUUUGGUCCAGGGCAAUUUUAUUUUUCUCUUUUAUUUCUUUUUCUUUUUUUUCCUGGUAAAAUUUUUUAUUCCUUGAAAAACACUUCUGUGUGCUUAAACUUAAAACUCUUGAUGCCAACCACUGAUGAAUAUCAUCAGUGCCAAGGGUAACAAUAGCAUCAGUGCCAGCACCCUCACAGUAUCAUUAACAUCAAUGCCAACAGUAUCGUGCACAUCUAUGCCAGCAGACCAAUACUGUCAACAGUGUUGAUGCCAACAGGAGUGAACGAAUGAAGAACCUCUCAGUCAUAAACCCUCAUGCAAAGACUCAUGCUGUGAUGCUGUCCCAUAAUAACAAUCCCCCGUGCCCAGCCUGGUUCUCAUUAGCAACUUUACAAUAACACACACUGGCACAAGAGCAAUUAGACGAGAACACCAAGGUGUGUAUAUCCUGGAAGGGAGAAAUACUCAGAUAUUUCUGGAGCCGAGGGGCAAAUGAACUCAAUGAUGAAGGAGUUUGUUGACUCUGCUUUUCUAAACCCUUCUGUCCAAGUGCAGUGGUGGCAGCUGGAGCUCUUUUUCAACUGGCACAGCCAGAACGCUGGGAGCACUUGCAAGCAGCAAGUGGUUUGACUCCUGCGUGCUUUGCUUUGGAGCACGUCUCCAGCUCUACCUACUUAACAGAGGAAUCUUGUUUCACAGGUAAUCUAAGGGAUUAAUAAAAGAAUUCAAUCCAAAAGGAUCUUUCCAGAAUCAGUGCGUUUCC